UUGACGUCACUGAACCCUAAAUCACUAACAGAGGCUAUAUUUAUUCGAUUGGUGACUUAUGGUCGGGUUCUUAUUAACAAACACACUGACUAGAGCGAGUACAUCGAUGUUGAUAUCAACGAUUGUUCAAUCAGUGAUGAUGAAGUUUUGAAGAACGGAUCAAUAGC